rnacentral:ncRNA from 2 species
AAUCAUCGUCUGGGGUGCUGAAAGGCUGAGAAUAUACCCAUGAACCUGAUGUCGGUAAUACGAUCGAAGGAAGUGCGAUAUUUGACUGUG